rnacentral:rRNA from 1 species
AGUGAACGCUGGCGGUAGGCCUAACACAUGCAAGUCGAACGGCAGCACAGUAAGAGCUUGCUCUUACGGGUGGCGAGUGGCGGACGGGUGAGGAAUACAUCGGAAUCUACUUUUUCGUGGGGGAUAACGUAGGGAAACUUACGCUAAUACCGCAUACGACCUACGGGUGAAAGCAGGGGAUCUUCGGACCUUGCGCGAUUGAAUGAGCCGAUGUCGGAUUAGAUAGUUGGCGGGGUAAAGGCCCACCAAGGCGACGAUCCGUAGUUGGUCUGAGAGGAUGAUCAGCCACACUGGAACUGGGACACGGUCCAGACUCCUACGGGAGGCAGCAGUGGGGAAUAUUGGACAAUGGGCGCAAGCCUGAUCCAGCCAUACCGCGUGGGUGAAGAAGGCCUUCGGGUUGUAAAGCCCUUUUGUUGGGAAAGAAAAGCAGCAGGUUAAUACCCCGCUGUUCUGACGGUACCCAAAGAAUAAGCACCGGCUAACUUCGUG